rnacentral:rRNA from 1 species
UUCGACAGGCUUAACACAUGCAAGUCGAGGGGCAGCGGGGGUAGCAAUACCCGCCGGCGACCGGCGCACGGGUGAGUAACGCGUAUGCAACUUACCUAUCAGAGGGGGAUAACCCGGCGAAAGUCGGACUAAUACCGCAUGAAGCAGGGAUCCCGCAUGGGAAUAUUUGCUAAAGAUUCAUCGCUGAUAGAUAGGCAUGCGUUCCAUUAGGCAGUUGGCGGGGUAACGGCCCACCAAACCGACGAUGGAUAGGGGUUCUGAGAGGAAGGUCCCCCACAUUGGUACUGAGACACGGACCAAACUCCUACGGGAGGCAGCAGUGAGGAAUAUUGGUCAAUGGCCGAGAGGCUGAACCAGCCAAGCCGCGUGAGGGAUGAAGGUUCUAUGGAUCGUAAACCUCUUUUAUAAGGGAAUAAAGUGCGGGACGUGUCCCGUUUUGUAUGUACCUUAUGAAUAAGGAUCGGCUAACUCCGUGCCAGCAGCCGCGGUAAUACGGAGGAUCCGAGCGUUAUCCGGAUUUAUUGGGUUUAAAGGGUGCGUAGGCGGCCUUUUAAGUCAGCGGUGAAAGUCUGUGGCUCAACCAUAGAAUUGCCGUUGAAACUGGGGGGCUUGAGUAUGUUUGAGGCAGGCGGAAUGCGUGGUGUAGCGGUGAAAUGCAUAGAUAUCACGCAGAACCCCGAUUGCGAAGGCAGCCUGCCAAGCCAUUACUGACGCUGAUGCACGAAAGCGUGGGGAUCAAACAGGAUUAGAUACCCUGGUAGUCCACGCAGUAAACGAUGAUCACUAGCUGUUUGCGAUACACUGUAAGCGGCACAGCGAAAGCGUUAAGUGAUCCACCUGGGGAGUACGCCGGCAACGGUGAAACUCAAAGGAAUUGACGGGGGCCCGCACAAGCGGAGGAACAUGUGGUUUAAUUCGAUGAUACGCGAGGAACCUUACCCGGGUUUGAACGCAUUCGGACCGAGGUGGAAACACCUUUUCUAGCAAUAGCCGUUUGCGAGGUGCUGCAUGGUUGUCGUCAGCUCGUGCCGUGAGGUGUCGGCUUAAGUGCCAUAACGAGCGCAACCCUUGCCACUAGUUACUAACAGGUAAAGCUGAGGACUCUGGUGGGACUGCCAGCGUAAGCUGCGAGGAAGGCGGGGAUGACGUCAAAUCAGCACGGCCCUUACAUCCGGGGCGACACACGUGUUACAAUGGCGUGGACAAAGGGAAGCCACCUGGCGACAGGGAGCGAAUCCCCAAACCACGUCUCAGUUCGGAUCGGAGUCUGCAACCCGACUCCGUGAAGCUGGAUUCGCUAGUAAUCGCGCAUCAGCCAUGGCGCGGUGAAUACGUUCCCGGGCCUUGUACACACCGCCCGUCAAGCCAUGGGAGCCGGGGGUACCUGAAGUCCGUAACCGCGAGGAUCGGCCUAGGGUAAAACUGGUGACUGGGG